rnacentral:rRNA from 1 species
GACGAACGCUGGCGGCGCGCUUAACACAUGCAAGUCGAACGGAAAGGCCUGCUUUCCCUUGUGGAUUGCGGGUACUCGAGUGGCGAACGGGUGAGUAACACGUGAGUGAUCUGCCCCCAACUUGGGUAUAAGCCUGGGAAACUGGGUCUAAUUCCCGAUAGGACUGCAGGGUGGUGCCUGUGGUGGAAAACGAUUUUCUAGUGGUUGGGGAUGAGCUCGCGGCCUAUCAGCUUGUUGGUGGGGUAAUGGCCUACCAAGGCGGCGACGGGUAGCCGGCCUGGGAGGGUGGGCGGCCGCAUUGGGACUGAGAUACGGCCCAGACUCCUACGGGAGGCAGCAGUGGGGAAUAUUGCGCAAUGGGCGGAAGCCUGAUGCAGCGACGCCGCGUGGGGGAUGACGGCCUUCGGGUUGUAAACUCCUUUCGACCGCGAGGAAGCCACCUGGUUGGAAGGGUGGUGACGGUAGUGGUAGAAGAAGCACCGGCUAACUACGUG